CACCGCGGUUAAACGGGAGGCCCAAGCUGAUAGUCUUCGGCGUAAAGAGUGGACCGGGUCAAACAUCAAACUAAAGUCGAACGCCCUCUCACGCUGUGAUACGCGCUUGAAGGUGGGAAGCACAACUACGAAAGUGACUUUAAUAGCCCUAUACCCACGAAAGCUAAGAAACAAACUGGGAUCAGAUACCCCACUAUGCUUAGCCGUAAACAUUGAUAGUGUACUACACACACAUCCGCCCGGGCACUACGAGCUUCAGCUUAAAACCCAAAGGAUUUGGCGGUGCUUUAGACCCACCUAGAGGAGCCUGUCCUAGAACCGAUGACCCCCGUUCAACCUCACCCCUCCUAGCCCCGCCCGCCUAUAUACCGCCGUCGUCAGCCCACCCUAUGAAGGAAAAAAAGUUAGCCCAAUUGGUAUAACCUAAAACGUCAGGUCGAGGUGUAGCGAAUGGAGGGGGAAGAGAUGGGCUACAUUCUCUGCCCCUAGAGUAUACGAAAGACUACGCUGAACCACGCAUGUCUGAAGGAGGAUUUAGCAGUAAGCGAAAAACAGAGCGUUUCGCUGAAACUGGUCCUAAAGCGCGCACACACCGCCCGUCACUCUCCCCAAGCCCCUUAUACACACAACAUAAUAAACAAGUCUUUGCACAAGGGGAGGCAAGUCGUAA
rnacentral:rRNA from 1 species